rnacentral:lncRNA from 1 species
AAUGCAAAGCACUGGGCUGACAGGGGAAAGUGGAGGGGAGCAGUGACUGGAACGUGGGGGAUGAGGGACUCUCCCCGGUCCUUUGUCUGGCAAUGUUUGGGUCCCAGGGCUGCGUGGUGAGUCUGUGUGGGUCUGGAACGUGUUGACUGUGUCUUGUGUGGGAACGCAGAGUACCCACAGCCCUUGGUCAUUCACGUGGGUCCUGUGUGGGGAGGUGGAGGCAGCAGGGCGGCGGCUGUGGUCUCCUUCUCCCUGGGUAGAGCCUGCCUUCCAGCACUCUGAUUCUGGUGGAGAGUCCUGACAUGUUUGGGAGUCCUGCCAUCCAGUCAAGUUCUCUUUGUUUAACCCUUACACUACCUACCCGUAACUUCUUCCCUUAUCAAGCACAGGGCCUGAGCACUCCUCGCCCCCAUUCGCUGAUGGAUGACAGCAGCUGGAGGGGAAUGUUCUGAGGGACUGGGGAGCUGCAGGCAGGGGCCCAGGUUUGCUCUGGAGGGCACGAGUCACCCAGGACCACUGGCUGGGUUAGUGAAAUGGCUCCUUUGCCAAGCGUCAACAUGUGGUAGAUCUAAUUUGAAAUGAGUUCCAGAGCUGAGGCAAGGCUAUGAUAGAACACAAGGCAAACAGCUGAAAACUGUAGUCAAAAGGCAGGGAAGCUGAGAAAGUGAUUCAAAGAAGCCCAUCUGAAAUCGGAAGCAACAGGGACGCUUUUAGGGAGGUCCUGGGUGCUUCAGAACACGGGCCUUCAGCUGAGACCUCUCCAACUGCCUGGACCCUGGCUGCUGGCAGACCAAGUUGCUCAACACCCAGAAUUAACUUGGGACUGGAGUCCCCAUGUGAGGCCACGACAGGAGGCACACAGCAGGACCUCUCAGAAGGGCCUGGAGGGGAAAGAUCCCUCAGCUCCAGCCUGUAAAGAAGGUGCACUGGGAUGCCCACACAAAGAGGAUUCCCUUGGCAGCAAGGAAAACCAUUAGCCCUGUGCUGUUUAUAGAUAGCAGAGAAUAAAGAGAAAUAAGAAGCA